UUUCUAUCUUGACCAUCCAAUAAUUUUUGUUUUACAGAUGCAGUUUUUCAAAGAACAUAUUAUCUAGUCUCCUUUAAAAAAAAAAAAAUGGUCAUGUGUGUGUGGAUUGGAGAAAAUUUGGCUAUCAUUUGUAACUGGUCAGAGUGGCAACAUACACAUCCUACAUUGACUAAAUAGUGUGUGUUUGUGUGAGUGUGUGUGUGUGUGUGUGUGUGUGAGAGAGAGAGAGAGAAAGAGAGAGAGAGAGAGGGAGAGAGAAAUGGGUGUCUCAUUACAGUGAACAGUAUUGUAAGCUGUAUAUAGUUAGCAAAACAAUGAAGAAAGAAAAAAUAAAAGCCAUGUUAACCUAAACAUGCAAUUGAGAGAUAUCACCUUCCUUUAUAUAGUUCUAAAAAGUUUAAAUUAAGAUAUAUAAGGCUAGUACAUGUGUUAGAGAGAGAGAGAGAACUUAAGAGAAAAGGAGUAAAUACAUGAUAAUGUUAUAAUAAUGAGUCAGCAGAGCAUUGAACAGCAAAACAGAAACUUCCUCAUAUAAAUGGAAACAGUCAUUUCAAUGUCACAGUUUAGCUACCAUCUUAACAAAAAGGAUGAAAAAUUGUUAUAAAUCGUGUGGGAAAUAUAUUCUUCUCUGCCAGAACUUUAUUUUUAUCUUUUAUCAGAAAAGAAAAAAAGACUGGAAAAGGGAACAAUCUUAGUUUCAUGCUGUCUUUUAUCUUUUUAAUCUUUUACUUGCUUUAAUCAUUGGACUGUGGUGAUGCUGGAGCAAUUACCUUGAAGGGUUUAGUUGAAAAAAUUGACACCAGUACUUAUUUUUAAAGUCUGGUACUGAGUCUAUCAGUCUCUUUUCCUGAACCACUAUGUUAUGAGGACGUAAACAAACCAACACCAGUAGUAGUCAAGCUCUCUGUGUGUGUGAGGAGCAAACACAAAGAAACACAUACAUACAAACAUGCACACGCACACACGGUUUCUGCCUACCAAAAUAACUCACAUUGGUUAACCUGGAGCUAUAGUAAAAGACAUUUGCCCAAGGUGUAGCACAAUGAGACUGGACAAGAAAUCACAUGGUUGCAAAGUGUGUUUCAUAACAGAAAUUGAUUUCUUCCCAGUAAUGGUGAUCAUAAUGUUGUUAUGACUGUUGUAGUUUAACUUUAGGUCAACCCUGACCAAGCAGACUUGUAAAUCAAAAAUAUUCUGGCCAUGACCAUCCAUCUUCUUUAGGAAAUGUUGGACUGACUACAUACUUUGAUUAUGUUUUUUCUAAUUAAAGAUAGGAUGUUGAUGGUGUGCUUUGUAAAAGAUUUGGCUGAUACUUUUUGCAGAUUGAGUUAUUAUGUAUGCUCCUUCCUUGAUUCCCAAUCAAAAUGUUUUAUUAAUGUUGAUGAUCACCAAAUUAUUUAGCAUCUAAACAAUUAAAUGUAUAAUCUUGUACACAUACUAAGCAGUUCAUUCAGCACCAUUUCAGCAAGUACAAAGGCUAUGUUGCAAUGAUUAGGCCCAACCUGUCUAAAAUUUUCUUUGGUAUUUACAAGAAAAUGAAAACAAUAUUCAUCAUUGACUUUUAUCAGCUUCAUCCCUCACCAUAUAUUUAUUUCUAGUUAAUCUUUUAAUGCUCCAUACAUUGAAUAUAUAACAAUAACUUACAUAUUAUUUUAUGUUUAUCUAGGAGAGUUUCCUUUGGAAGCAGAGAAAAAUUUUCAUAGUGUUCAACUCGUUAAAAAUCUAUGUAAAACAUUCAUCUUUCUUAAGCAAGACUAUUGAGAUUAAAAUCACUUCUGCUGGCUGCAUGAGUCUUAAGUAUUAACUCCUGCAACAGCCACUUAUAUUGUGUCCCAGUUCAACUAAGAGCUUCUACUCCUUGUGACAAGUACGAAAAGACACAUAUUCAGUAAUAAAAUCAGUUCCCCCAUUAAUACACAAAUAUUCAAAUUCAAUAGAAAAUGAAUAAAAUAUAAUGAAAGAACAACAACAAAAUACAACAAUGUUUAUAAAACAAAGACAUUGUUCUAAAAUAGUGUUUAUAAAAACUUUUAUAAAAGUAUAGCAGAGACUCCAGCAAAUAAGAUCUGAAGAAGGAAUUGUAAUUCCGAAAUAUCAUCGGAUAACCAAGUUACAACAGGGCAACCACACAAUAGAACAAGCUUCCAGUUAUUUUGUUGAUAUUUAGAAAACACUAGUUUCUGUUGAUAAGGCAAAAGGCCAGUGAAAGAUGGUGCAGUUGACUAGAUUUACAAUCAGGAGCAACAUGACAAUUUAUAGCAAAAGACUUUAUUAAUGUUGAGCUGCUGCUGAUUAUGACAUGACAGCUGAGGCAACAAACUUUUUUUAUAAAAGGCAACAAACUUUUUUUAUAAAAGUAGCUUCCAAUUAUGGCCACGGCCAAAUAUAAUUUGUUUUUUAACAAAAAGUAGCUACAUGAUGUUUCUAUCCAAAAUUCCAUGGAAAAAGAGGACUUGUCACAUGCACAUAUUUGAUUUACAAAUAAAAUUUCAAUUUAAUCAAAAUUGAUUCCAUCACAUCAACAGUUUCCUGAUGGAAAAGGGAAGAGCUCUUCAGUAUAGUUAAAUCCAAGUGGCUCAUGGUCCCUGUAGUGUCUUCAACAAAAAGUCACCUUGUAUGAAAAGCAACAAAUACACCAAAGAGUUUCCAGGAUUACUUAACAAGAAGACCUAAAUAGAAGAUUGCAAUCCUUGAUACAGAAGAAGUAAAGAGGUUUAAAACUUCCAAACUUUGGUUGGUAGCCCAAAAUUUACAAUGGAUGUAUAGUUCCCUACUUCCUACCCCUACUGAGACAUUUAAUAAAAAUCAAUUUUGAGUUCUGCAAUUCAAUAAAGUUCAUCAAAUACAUCUGUACAUAUAAUCAUCAAGAGAUCUAAUGCUGCAAUGUUUGCUCUGACACUGCAAAACAGGUUUGAUGAAGUUACCCAAAUACCAGCAAAGUAAAGCAAUGGCAAUGCAUCUUCAGCAAUGAGGCAUUCUGAUGCUUUUUCACCUUUUUUAUUCAUAAAGAAACCUUAGCAUUCAACAACUUGUCCAUACAGAAAAUUUUCAGUACAUUUACUUCACUCAUGAAACUACCACACAAGCAUAAGGUCUAAGAGACACAAUGCUUACAGCUUUUGCAAGCUGUAGCAGUAUUAGCCCCUUACAGAAACGUUGUAUUUUCAAAUUCCUUUCUGUUAUAAAGGGGACAACAAGCAAGACAAGGAAUGCAAAGUGUUCCUGCUGAAACUAACUUGCCAUGAAGUCUGACUGCGUCAUUGGAAGAGAGUACACUGUACACAUGAAUGCUUUUUUCUUUGACUUCUCCAUAAAAUGUGGAGUUGAAGUUCAUUUCAAGAUCUUUGAAUGGUAAAGAGCAAAUUUUGCACCACCUAUAUGCUUUAUACUUGGAUUACUAGAUGAUAGUGGCCAGUAGGGUACAACAUAAUCAGUAACUUCUAUAUACGACACAGUGAAAAGGCCUAGUGUUCUUUUCACUAUGCUGUUAAAAUGAUGGGAACCAUCCAUCUAGUCCACUUCAACUUUGGCUAAAAAUUUAAAGCAUCAAGCUCAGCAAAUGUAUCCCAUCAUGGAAAUAUGGUACACAGAUGAAACUGACAAUGCAGCCUCCAUCAACAAGCUCAAGAAUAUAAAUAACAAUAACACCUCCCUCCACUUAACUAUACUGAAUUUAACAAUGUACCAGCAGAAAUUUUGUACUCUUUUUAUGUAAAUUCCUUGGCUACUGGGCAAGUGCAGUACUAAUUACACCUAUUCAAGCAGGAACACAUAUCCAUGAAUGUACUCUUAUCUUCAGACAAUAAGCCUGCCAUCUUCCUUAAUGGCAUGUCAGCUUUGGAGAAUUUUUGAUUCUUGAGAUUAUCUCCCUUUCUUAUAUGGAGCUCGUCUUAAUUGCUAUUUGGUAAUUAUGACACAUCUUCAUGAGGCAGAGAUAACUUUAAUAAAUCAAGAAUUUAUGUUGUAUGGUAUUUGACAUAUUUGUAUUUGUCUAUGUUGUUCACAAACAUUGGUCACUCUGAGUUAUUUCUCUUAGAUGAUCAUUUUUGUUUACACACACACACCCACACACACACACACAAUAGCUGGAAGGCGUACUGGAUAUAAUGCAUGAUAAUUCAUAAUUUUGGAUAUAUCCAUCAUGGACAGAGAAAAUAAAAGAAAAUCUAGCAUUAACUGAUUUUCAGCAGCUCUGAAUGAGAAUGGGAAAUAAUUUCAAGGACUGGCACCCAUGCCAACCUUUCCUUCAUUGGACACUAAACUCUGCUUGCGAAGACCUGUUGGGGCAAGUGAAAUCAAAAUCGUAAUUGAACCUGUGCCAGUGGAGCGCUAAAAGCACCGUCCGAGCGUGAUCAUUGCCAGAGCAGCUGUCUGGCUUCCGUGCCAGUGGCACCGAAAUCAUAACUGAACCAAAUUCGAUGACUGGCACCUGUCCCAGUGGAGCGCUAAUAGCACCAUCUGAGCAUGAUCAUUGCCGGAGCAGCUGUCUGGCUUCUGUGCUAGCGGCACGUAAAUAGCACCAUUCGAGCGUGAUCGUUACCAACGUCGCCUUACUAGCACGUGAAAAAACAUUCAAGCGAGGUCAUUGCCAGUGCCGCUGGACUGGCUCUUGUACAGGUGGUAUGUAAAAUACACCAUUUUGAGCGUGGCCAUUGUCAGUACUGCCUGACUGGCCCUUGUACUGGUGGCACGUAAAAGCACCCACUACACUCUCGGAGUGGUUAUAGUUAGGGAGGGCAUCCAGCUGUAGAAACUCUGCCAGAUCAGACUGGAGCCUGGUGCAGCCAUCUGGUUCGCCAGUCCUCAGUCAAAUCAUCUAACCCAUGCUAGAUGGAAAGCGGACAUUAAACGAUGAUGAUGAUGAUGAAAGAAAGUAUUUUCAUUUCAGAGGCAAAGAACAGUUAUGGAUUCAGACAGACUCUAUAGGGGGUCACUGGCGUUGUAAUAUCUUUCUCACCUCUGAAUCAGAGGUAGGUAUUUGACUUAAACAAAAAGAGCAGGAAAUAUACACGACUUGAAUAUUGAGUAUAUAUUUCCACUAUAAAAUGGUCUCAAAGGCUAUAAGGUUCAGAUCUUUCUAAUAUGAGAGGAAAAAAUGGUUUCUCAUACUUGAAAACCAAUUCUUUUCUUUGUGAAUUAAAAUUUAAUCCUAUCCUACUAAUAUCUUACUGGUUGUUAAUACUGAUCUUUCAUUAAUAAAGGUACAAACCAAACAUUAUGUUAGAAAUGGGUUUGACAGCAAAGCCUGGAUUAAGCCAAAUAAUGGAAUGUUGAUAAAAUUCAUACGGAAGACCUACUUUGGGUAAAAUUGGAAGACAGUCAAGAGAACUGGGGUAGUUUCAACUUAAUGGACAGUAGAGAGGAACGUAAGAACAAAGAAGAAUCAGUUGCCUUGUGGCAAGUGAUGGCCACAGGUAAAAACCUGUUAAAGACCUCAAACUCUUUCACAACCCAAGUAUGCUGAUAGAGGAAAAUCUGUUAAAAUGUAAACUAUAAUAAACAACCCUGGCCUUUACUUCUACAUAGGAUAUUUGCAUCACAGACAGUAACGUAUAUCAAAUAUACAAUGUAUCUGACAGAUUGGAUACAUAUACAAAUGCACACAUCGGCCGUGAGAAUGACCCAAUAAGAGAGGUACAAUUUUGUCUCUCAGCCUGCUACAAAUGGUAGUCAAACUCCAAUCAUAGCCUACAAUCCUAAAACAGGACGGGCACAUUGGAUAAUGUAGUCCUAGAGAAACUUCAACUUCAUCUAGCUUUCUGCUAGAUCAAAAGCUACAAUGAGAAGUUGUCUAGACAUCAGCAAAGGAAAUAUUAAUAUUUUGGGAAUGUUACUUACGAAAAUAUUCUAUAGGCAGAUUCAUCUUUUCCAUGGUCCAUAAUUAUGUUUCAAACUAAAUAGGCCACAAAUAAACUCCAGCUUUAUG